UAUAAUAAUCGGGUAUAAGGCAGACACCGAAGGCGCGGGAUAGCAUUUAAGAAAGUAUCGGUAGGGGAGCAUACUCACAGCGUUGAAUGGUGUACGUAAGUUAUCCUGGAGCGGUGAGUAAAGCAAAUGUAGGAAUAAGUAACGAUAAGGAGGGUUAGAUUCCCUCCCGCUAUAAGACCAAGGUUUCCCGGGCAAUGCCAAUCAGCCCGGGGUCAGUCGGGUCCUAAGUCUAAGCCGAACGGCGAUGGCGAUGGCAGAGACGGUUAAUAUUCCGUCACUGCCGCAUGGGGCGACGUGGAGACGGAGCAGUGAAACCACCGCGGGGCGACGGAAGUCCCCGUUGAAGAGUGUAGGCGUUGAGGAUGGCAGGCAAAUCCACCGUCUGAGCUGAACUUGAUAGUAUGGAGUCUUCUUCGGAAGAAUCCAAUAGUGUGGGUAAUCAUACUCCCGAGAAAAUCCGCUAAGCUUAACCCAUGCGGCACCCGUACCGCAAACGGACACACGUGGUCGGGUAGAACAUACUGAGGCGUUGAGAGAUUCAUGGUUAAGGAACUAGGCAAAUUGACCCUGUAACUUCGGGAUAAAGGGUCCUCGUGAAGAGCGAGGCGCAGAGAAUAGGUCCAGGCAACUGUUUAACAAAAACACAGGGCUGUGCAAACUCGAAAGAUGACGUAUACAGCCUGACACCUGCCCGGUGCCGGAAGGUUAAGAGGAGAUGUCACACUUAUGUGGAAGCAUUGAAUUGAAGCCCCGGUAAACGGCGGCCGUAACAAUAACGGUCCUAAGGUAGCGAAAUUCCUUGUCGGGUAAGUUCCGACCUGCACGAAUGGUGUAAUGAUCCGGACGCUGUCUCAACCAUGAGCUCAGUGAAAUUGUAGUAUCGGUGAAGAUGCCGAUUACCCGCGAUGGGACGAAAAGACCCCGUGAACCUUUACUACAGCUUAGCAUUGACCUUGGUCAUCCGAUGUGUAGGAUAGGCCGGAGGCUUCGAAGCGGGAGCGCCAGCUUUCGUGGAGCCAUCCUUGAAAUACGGCCCUUUGGCUGUCUGAGGUCUAACGCGCGAUGCGCGGACACUGCUUGGUGGGUAGUUUGACUGGGGUGGUCGCCUCCAAAAGCGUAACGGAGGCUUCCAAAGGUGCCCUCGGGUCGAUUGGUAACCGACCUCAAAGAGUGCAAUGGCAUAAGGGCGCUUGACUGGGAGGCAGACAUGCCGAGCAGGCAGGAAACUGGGGCAUAGUGAUCCGGCGGAUGUGUAUGGAAACUCCGUCGCUCAAAGGAUAAAAGGUACUCCGGGGAUAACAGGCUGAUCCCCCCCAAGAGCUCAUAUCGACGGGGUGGUUUGGCACCUCGAUGUCGGCUCGUCACAUCCUGGGGCUGGAGAAGGUCCCAAGGGUUGGGCUGUUCGCCCAUUAAAGUGGCACGCGAGCUGGGUUCAGAACGUCGUGAGACAGUUCGGUCUCUAUCUAUCGUGGGCGUGGGAGUUUUGCGUGGUGCCGUCACUAGUACGAGAGGACCGUGAUGGACAGACCUCCGGUUUACCAGUUGUGCCGCCAGGCGCACCGCUGGGUAUCUGAGUCUGGAUUGGAUAAGCGCUGAAAGCAUCUAAGUGCGAAGCCAGCCGCAAGAUGAGAACUCCAUUGAGGGUCGUCAGAGACGAUGACGUUGAUAGGAUGCAGGUGUAAAGACAGCGAUGUCAAAGCCGAGCAUUACUAAUUGCCC
rnacentral:rRNA from 1 species